rnacentral:rRNA from 1 species
GAUGAACGCUGGCGGCGUGCCUAAUACAUGCAAGUCGAGCGAUCAGACGAGGAGCUUGCUCCUCUGACGUUAGCGGCGGACGGGUGAGUAACACGUGGAUAACCUACCUAUAAGACUGGGAUAACUUCGGGAAACCGGAGCUAAUACCGGAUAAUAUAUUGAACCGCAUGGUUCAAUAGUGAAAGACGGUUUUGCUGUCACUUAUAGAUGGAUCCGCGUCGCAUUAGCUAGUUGGUAAGGUAACGGCUUACCAAGGCAACGAUGCGUAGCCGACCUGAGAGGGUGAUCGGCCACACUGGAACUGAGACACGGUCCAGACUCCUACGGGAGGCAGCAGUAGGGAAUCUUCCGCAAUGGGCGAAAGCCUGACGGAGCAACGCCGCGUGAGUGAUGAAGGUCUUCGGAUCGUAAAACUCUGUUAUUAGGGAAGAACAAAUGUGUAAGUAACUAUGCACGUCUUGACGGUACCUAAUCAGAAAGCCACGGCUAACUACGUG